UACGGGGGGAGCAAGCGUUGUUCGGAUUUACUGGGCGUAAAGGGCGCGUAGGCGGUCAGCACAAGUCAGUUGUGAAAUCUCCGGGCUUAACUCGGAAAGGUCAACUGAUACUGUGCGACUAGAGUGCGGAAGGGGCAACUGGAAUUCUCGGUGUAGCGGUGAAAUGCGUAGAUAUCGAGAGGAACACCUGCGGCGAAGGCGGGUUGCUGGGCCGACACUGACGCUGGAUGCGCGAAAGCCAGGGGAGCGAGCGGG
rnacentral:rRNA from 1 species